CUGAAAGCAUAUAAGCGCGAAACCCGCCACAAGAUGAGAUCUCUUUAAAGGGCCGUGGGAGAUGACCACGUCGAUAGGCCGUAGGUGGAAGUGCAGCGAUGCAUGCAGCCGAGCGGUACUAAUUGCCCGUAAGCUUGCGCAU
rnacentral:rRNA from 1 species